rnacentral:tRNA from 1 species
GGGGGAUUAGCUCAGUGGGAGAGCAUCCCGUUCGCAACGGGAAGGGCACGGGUUCAAAUCCCGUAUCCUCCA